rnacentral:rRNA from 1 species
AUGGCGAUGGUGUUGGAUGCUUUUGCAUCCUACAUCGGGGACUACCUCAAGCAGGUGGUACAGGAUGAGCUUGGAACGAUGCUGGGCGUCUCCGGCGAGAUCGACAAGUUGGGCGACAAGCUCCUGGACCUAAAGAACUUCCUUGCGGAUGCUGAUAGGAGGAACAUCACUGACAAGACCGUCCAGGUCUGGGUGGGGCAGCUCAAGCGCGCCAUGUAUGAAGCUGCUGAUAUCCUUGAUCUCUGCCAGCUCAAGGCCAUGGAGCGUGGGUCAUCCUCCUCAGAUGCAUUGUGUUGCAAUCCCUUGCUUUUCUGCAUGAGGAAUCCCUUCCAUGCUCGUGAGAUCGGCACCCGCAUCAAGGCGCUCAACAAGAGGCUCGACUCCAUCAAGGAGCGGAGCGCUACUUUCAAUUUCAUCAAUCUUGGGUCCUAUGCGGAUUGUCAUAGCAGCAAUGUCAACAUCUUUUCUCAUGGCAAUCCCCGUUGGGAGACAUCUGGGGAGCUUGACUGGUCUAGUGUGGUUGGGGACAAGAUCGAAGAAGACACAAGAGCAUUGGUGGCCCAGAUCACAAGCUGUGGAAAUGACGUCAGCAACAACAUUAUGGUGGUCGCUAUUGUAGGUGUUGGUGGGAUUGGCAAGACCACCCUCGCCCAGAAGGUCUUCAAUGACGAGGCCAUCCAAGGUGACUUCAGCAAAAAGAUAUGGUUGAGUGUCAACCAAAACUUUAGUGAGGUUGAGCUGCGGAGAAGAGCCAUCAUUGAAGUCAGAGGAGAUGCUCGGCCAGUUGGAAAUGCAAAGGCCACGCUUCAACGAACCCUCAAGGAAGCUUUGAUUGGCCACAAGACCUUCUUGAUAAUGGAUGAUGUUUGGAACUAUAGAGCAUGGGAGGAUGUGCUCAAAACGCCGUUAGUCAAUGCCGCUGCUGCAGGCAGCCACGUCCUCAUCACCACUAGAGAUGAAGGUGUAGCCCGAGGGGUGUCAGCUAUAUGGCCAUACCACCACAUUGACACAUUAGCAACCGACGAUGCUUGGUUAUUGCUCAAGACGCAGGUACUCUCAAGUGAGAUAAAUGAAAACCACAUAGAUACGCUAAAGGAUAUUGGACUCAAAAUUAUACAAAAAUGUGGUUAUUUACCACUUGCCGUCAAAGUAAUGGGAGGACUCUUGCGUGAAAGAGGAGGGCUACGUCGCGACUGGCAGCAUGUUUUGGAUGAUUCGAAAUGGUCAAGAACUAAAAUGCCUGAUGAGCUUAACUAUGCAGUUUACUUAAGCUAUGAAUAUAUGCCCUCUUACCUAAAGCAGUGCUUUCUGUACUACUGUCUUCUUCCUAAAAGUAGAAUUUUUACUAUGGAUGAAGUUGUUGGAAUGUGGCUUAGUGAAGGAUUUAUUCAUGGAAAUUCUAAUGAUUUAGAAGAAUUGGGAGCACAUUACUACAAGGAGUUGGUAUCUAGAAACCUGAUAGAGCCAGAUAAAUCAUAUGUUAAUUUAUGGGUUUGCAACAUGCAUGAUGUUGUUCGCUCAUUUGCUCAGUAUAUGACUAAAGAUGAAGCACUCAUAGCUCAAGACGGAGAUAAUGAUAUUCUUGCUAAACUUGGUUCACAAAAGUUUCUUCGGUUGUCCAUAGAAACUAACCGAUCACAAUCAGAUGAACUUGAUUGGAAAUCUCUACAAGCACAACAAUCAGUGAGAACAUUGAUCUCAACUAUCCAGAUUAAGAUGAAGCCUGGUGGUUCCUUGGUUAAUUUUUCUAGUUUGCAGACUCUGCAUAUUGAAUUUAAAAAUAUGGCUGUAUUGGUUGAAUCAUUGCAUCAACUCAAGCAUCUGAGGUAUCUAGCACUAGUAAAUGCUGAUAUAUAUGUACUUCCAGGGAACAUUGGCAAAAUGAAACUGUUGCAAUUCCUUGACCUUUAUGGAUGUACAAAAUUGGUGAAUCUUCCUGAUAGCAUUGUGAAGCUUUGCCAGUUGAGGUUACUUUCACUUCCCGAAGUAAGUAUGGUACCUAGAGGUCUCAGUGGUCUGACAAAUAUGAGGAGACUAAAUAUGUUUCGAGCCCACAUGGAUGGUGAUUGGAACAGUUUGGACGAGUUGGGGCCUCUUUUCCAACUCAGAGUUCUUGUAUUAACUGAAUUAGAGAAUGUAUCUGCUUCCUCGUUUGCUGCUAAUGCUAGGCUCGACGAGAAGACGCAUCUUAUCAAGCUAUUCCUGGGCUGCACCGGUAAACUGGGAGAUGAUGGGUUGGUCAAAGAGAAGGAAGGUGUCUCUGAGGAAGAGCAACAACGAAUUGAGAAGGUUCUCGAUAAGCUCUGCCCUCCACCUAGUGUAGAAUAUAUUACAAUCAAUGGGUAUUUUGGCCGGCAACUCCCGAGCUGGAUGAUGUCCACAUCAACGGUGCCCCUCAACAACUUGAAGACUAUAUUGUUUUAUGAUCUUGCUUGUUGCACACAACUUCCCAAUGGGUUGUGCCAGCUUCCCAAUCUGCAGUUUCUACAGGUCUCUCGUGUUCCAUGCAUCAAACAUGUGGGGACUGGAUUCUUGCAGGUGGCAGCAGCUUCAUUUCCAAGGUUAAACGAAUUGAUCUUGGAUGAAAUGGUUGAAUGGGAGGAGUGGGAGUGGGAGGAGCAAGUACAAGCCAUGCGGCAUUUGGAGAAACUUGUGCUCAGUAAAUGCAGACUGAGGCAUGUUCCUCCAGGCCUUGCCUCCAAUACAAGAUCUUUGAAAAUAUUAGAUCUAAAUUAUGUCGAGCACCUCAGCUACAUUGAGAGCUUUCCUUCUGUUGUUGAGCUUAUAGUGAAUGAUUCCCCCGACCUGGAGAGGAUCACCAAUAUCCCCAAUCUGCAGAAGCUUAACAUCCAGAACUGCCAAAAGUUGAAGGUGUUGGAGCGUAUCGCUUCACUCGAGAGGCUUCUCCUGGAGGAUUACACCAUGGAAAAACUGCCGGAAUACAUGAGAGACAUAAAGCCAAGGUAUUUGCAGUUAUUUUGCAGGCUAUGGUUGCUCUAUGUGGUAGCCGCCAGACAAUCUGGCACUGAGUGGGACAAGUUCAGCCGAGUGGAGCAUGUCAAGGCGUAUGCACCUGAUGGAGACAACCAAAGAAAAUGGUACAUUUUGUACACGAGAGGUGACAACUACAAGCUGGAUUCAAAUAUUAGCAGCUCUACCAUAUUUGAAGCUUGGUGA